rnacentral:lncRNA from 1 species
UGUGCGCAUCGUCUGGUGAUACGUCGGGAGUCCCAAAGUUUCACAUAAUGACGACGAAGUGCGUCCUAAAAAUUUGUGCGUAAUAUGAAUCACUUAUAGGCACGACUGGAUAGUACUAAUGAAAAACUUAUCUAUCUAUCGAAAUAAGAGCAACCUCCACUUUGACAAUCGAGAAUCGAGUUUAGAGAUGAAACUUGAACGAGCAAGCCUACUCUACUUGUUGCUGUCAAAAACAAGCUUUCAUUCAUAGCUUCCAUUCAAUCAUUCAUUUCAUCCGGGGCACUGCGUGAUGAGGUAAGUUAUUUUUUCGGCAUUUAUUUGUGCUUUUCUUAAUAAUUAUGCAUUAAAGAUGUUAGCGUCGUUGAUUAUAAAUUAAGUAAGAAAUAUUUAAUUAAAUAAGUGUUAAGUUAGUGUAAUUAAUAAACAUGUGUGAUUCAUAACCUCGCACGACUGCAUAGAAUAAUGCAGUGUGCAGUCUUCUUCCGUUCUCCGGUUAUAAUAAAUAGAUUAAAGAAUGAUAAAUCCUAAUCACUUCCGAUUUCAAAAUACCAUCGAUAAGUUUUUUGGUGUUUACUUUUAUCACCUUUGAGCAACGGCACCGACUGAUAAGAUUAUUUGGUUAGGUUGCCACGCGGGUCUUGAAGAAAAGCAAAUAAUCAUGCUGCCGAAAUCAAUACUUGUCCUUAUCUGCUACUUCAAGUCCGUAUUAAACUAGAUAAAAUGAUGACAAUAACACGAGCCGAAAAGUGUUAAUAUGAUUAACACGUGAUAUUAAAUGAUAGGGCUGAUAUCUACACUGGUCAUUACAAUGAUCCCUUAUCUUUAGUCAUCUGCUUAUAAUCUAUAUCUUCCAUCUUUACAGAUGUUACAGAAUCCAGUCAUGGCUGAAAAGGAAAAACAGGUAUGUAGGAGCUAGGGGCAGGCAGAAAAGGGCCAUUUAACAUGAGACAAUUAGUAAGAAUUUUAAUUAGGUGUUAAUGAAUAUAGUUACAUUAAAUAAUUAGUUGGUCUUCACAAAAUUCUUUGCUAGUAACCCAAAAUUCUUGCUAAUACUUUUCAUAAAAAUUGUGUGUUAAUGUUAAAAGUGAACAUAGUAUUUUGAU